rnacentral:tRNA from 1 species
CAAGAAGUAGUUUAACUUAGAAUGCUGGCUUUGGGGGCCAGCGGUGGGAGUUAAAAUCUUCCCUUUUUGA